rnacentral:rRNA from 1 species
UACGUAGGGUGCGAGCGUUGUCCGGAAUUAUUGGGCGUAAAGGGCUCGUAGGCGGUCUGUCGCGUCGGCUGUGAAAUCCCGAGGCUCAACCUCGGGUCUGCAGUCGAUACGGGCAAACUAGAGUAUUGCAGGGGAGACUGGAAUUCCUGGUGUAGCGGUGAAAUGCGCAGAUAUCAGGAGGAACACCAGCGGCGAAGGCGGCGCUCUGGGCUGGAACUGACGCUGAGGAGCGAAAGCGUGGGGAGCGAACAGG